GAUUGCUUGUCUUUAUGCUUUUCUUUCUGACAGCCACUGUCAAUGCCGUUGUUGUUUCUCUUCUCAUUUCUUUGGCAGCUGUCGGAGGCUUCAUGGCUCUUUUCUUUGCUCUUAUAACAGCUAUAUAUAUAUGGGCAUUAUCAGUUGCUGUAUUUGUCAUUUCCACGGCAACAAUUUCAGCAAUUAUAGCGGUUUUUAUAGCUACAGGUUGGAUUGGAUUUUUCUGGACUGUCUGGUUGGUGACAAAGAAAAGUGUGGGUGUAGCUAAGCACUCAUUGUGGGUGACUGGAUCAGCAAUUUCAACUUACUCUUCGGGUCGGCAUGUGCUGCGCAAUCAAGAACUAGAUAAGGUGUCGAAUUGAGCAACGAUGCUCUGAAGUCCAUUCAUGUGAAUAUCCUUGUAUACCCUGUACAUCUAUACAUCUUCGCUUCUCACAACUUGCUCGCGAGUGACAACUGCUAUGGUAGUGUUUGUUACUAGUGAUUGUUGCUAUCAUUUGGAAGCUUAUGGUGAAAUCUACAACUACAGUUUGAAAGCACAUGUGAUAAGCAUUGUGGUGUUAGAUAUAUGCUUGUUCAAACUGUGUAUUGUAUAAUGAGCUGUUGCGCGGAGAUGGAUUUCAGGUA
rnacentral:misc_RNA from 1 species